rnacentral:lncRNA from 1 species
AUGCACGCCCACUUCCUGUCCUGGGGGACAGGAAAUCCCCAGGAAGACACCAGAUUAAAUCAGAUCUGCACAGCCCAUCACCUUCCUCUGGGCCCCCGACCUGGGUUCCCGCUCACCUUGGUCCAGCACGGAGCACCCUGCCCGGCACCCCGAGGCCUGCUGGGGGCUCCCAGCCUCUCCUGGAAACCGCGCCCCUGCCCACGUGCUCCUGGCUGCCCUCCUGCCCUUCUUCCCCCGACUUCAGUGCUCAGUGAAGCGUCACCUUCCUGGAGGCCUCCCGAAAACCCCAGACAGGGGAGCACGUUGCUGUGGGGAUUCAGCCACAUACGGCUUUUCUUCCAUUGACAUUGACUUUUCGUUACAAAGUUGGCACGCCCACCAAGGAGAUCCAAAUGGAAGAGCAGUGCCUAAGCAAGCAGCAGCGCCCCUCGCUGCUGUCCCUGAAAGCGGCUCCCCGGCGUUCGCUCCCGCUUCCAGACAGGUUUCUCUGCUUAUGCAAAAGCACACGUUGAAAACAACUUACAGGAAAAAAAAAGCUGGGCCUGGUGGCUUAUGCCUGUAAUCCCAGGACUUUGGGAGGCUGAGGCAGGAGGAUCACCUGAGGUCAGGAGUUGGAGACCAG